rnacentral:rRNA from 1 species
AUCUGGGCGGCGGAAUUCAGGACGGUCGGGCGGGCUUCUCGCUCGUCGGGCCGUUUGAUAUUUCCGUCGCCGUGUCAGACGUCGCGACCUGUUCGUCGUCGGUCCUUGCUCGGAGGAAGCGCGAUCGAGUUCGUUGCGGGCGCGUUUCGGCGCGUUCCGCGGCGAAGACGCGACUCUCUGGCUGGCGACGGACAGUAAGCAACGGUGGCCGGCGUCGUGUCUCGCACUCGACGCUCGGUGCCGGUCGGCGACGAUUUCUUCGGGCCUCUUUCCGACCCGUCUUGAAACACGGACCAAGGAGUCUAACAUGCGCGCGAGUCGCGGGGUUUCGAGCGUGCCACGGUGCGCUCGUUACUUCCGAAACCCGUACGUUGAAGGCGUAAUGAAAGUGAACAGGGAAGAUGGCGUUCCGAGUCCACGUACCGUGAUCGAGUAUCGCGGCCGGACGUCCGCACUCCCGGGGCGUCUCAAUGGCUCGCCGCGGAUGCGGACGGUCGUCUCUUCGGGGGCGGCCGUCGGUCUGUGGCGGUCCGA